AUCCAAUCGAUAAGUCCCAAAUAGAACGAAACGCGCGUCCUGAAU
rnacentral:hammerhead_ribozyme from 1 species